GGUUGGCACGUCCAGUAGCAUCUCUGGCUGCUGUUGACCUUGUUUUUGGAGUAAAAUACGGUGGAAGCUGAAUUAGUGAGGAUGACUCCUGCUCCUGUCAUCUCUAAGCUCCUCACACAUCUUUACCUGCACAUGAGGAAAAUCACUCCUGUAGAAUGCAGAUGUUCAGAGGGAGAUGAUGCCACAUCUGGUCCAGCUGAUGGAAGGUCUUGAAGUUCUCUGACUGGCCUCGACUGAAGAUGGUCGUCUCACUGGAUUUAAGGUUCAGAUGCUCAGUAACAAACUCCACCAAUGUGCCAACAGGGAAGCUUUAGGUUUAUUAAAUGUUGCUAUGAAGGUAUCGCUGUUUUUCUUUGUGAAUGCAAUGUGCUUCCAACUGAAACUUGAAUUAGAACUUAGAAGUAAAUCCUUCCAUCUGAAAGGAUUUAGUUGCAUUAAUAACCUCAUAACAUUCUAGUUUUUAUUCCAGUCUUGGUUGGAAAUAGAAUCUCUGUAUUGAUUCAGGUAAAAACUGAACUUCACAGCAUGUUGGAGCAAAACAACCAGAUGAAAACUGUGAUGGUGUUGGAUUGUCAGACCGUAAUGUUGCAGCUCAAAGCAGCUUUUCUAUCUCAGUUCAUUCUGACAUUCAGCUAUGAAUCAACACAGCAGAUGGUGAUCCAUGCUGUGGAAGUCUCACAUCUCCUGAUUUAAUGGAGCUGCUUUGCACUUUUUACACUGUUUAUUCACCAACACUUUAUUUAAUAAAAGUCCCAUCUAGUUUUCAUGAGGAAUGUGAUGUUUGAAUUUCUCUGUGAAUAACUGCAGUCUAAUGUAACAGCUGGAGUUGUAACAUCUGUCCUGAUAUUGAUCAUGAAGUAUUGAUCAGAAUAUUUAUGGUUAGCAGUCAUCCCUGAAGUUUUACAUUAAAAUCUUUACUUGUGUUGUGAACUUUGGUAAGAAGCAGAAAUGUUAGCGUUGCCAUGGAUAUAUGAGUGUUAAAUUCUGUCCAUGUUUCCAUUUUGGGAAAUUCAGUCCAGUUCCAGAAUGUGGAGGAAUUUAGUCUCACAAUCACAGACAACAAAUAUUAUCUGAAAGUUGGGUUAUUGUUGUUUAUCAGCACAAUACAAAAAGAUUAAUGUUAGAAAUAUUCCAGUUAAGACUCUAGAAUAUCAUGAGUUAUGUAAAUUUACCUCAAUAAUAUGAAUGUUCAGGUUAAGAUUGUACAGUGAUAUUUAUUAUGUAAGUUUAGCUGAUUAAAGUUUAUAACUCUGCACUAAAAUAUUAUUUAAAUUGACAUCAUUAUUAUAAUAUUUAGGGUCAGACCCUACAGUAUUGAGAUUAAGAAAUCAAAUAUUCUAUAAAAUGUAAAUACACUGAACUCAUUUGGAGAUAUUUAAGUGAGACUCUACAAUAUUGUUUGACACAAAUCUAUCUAAAUCAAAAUUUUAAUAAUUUUCACGCCAAUUUUCAUGGACUGAUUUAAAUAUUAAAAUCACUCCUUUCUAAUCCUCUGCUGUACGUUCAAACCUGAGGCCUUAAAUAGAAACACAAGGAUAUGAUUGAAGGAACUUCUGCAGAGUCCUGGUUCCAGAACAUGAUGAUAGAAUUAUAGACAAACUUUAACAAAAGCUGCCUGAGAGUUUACAGGUUUUUAUGUUAGAUUUCUUCAGUAAUUUAAUGAGCGUUAUCAGCAAUAAUCAAGUGUUCAUUUGAUGAACUUCAUUUCCUAAAACAUCCAGAAUUGGAGCUCAUAUCUUUGGCAGCUGUAAAGUUUCUGCUCCUUCAAAGUUCACAACACAAUGAAUGAAUUCCUAAAACACUCUCAAUGCUGGAGAGCGUUUGUGAUGCUGAAGCAGUGACCAGUUUUUCUGUUUCUUCUCUGGAGAUGCACAAUGAGGGACGUCUGCAGAGACUGAGAAAGAGUCUCACCACAUCCUGACAUGAGGAAAAAGACUUUAUUGAAGACUACAAUGAGAAAAACUAUCAGACAACAGACAGCUGCAUUCAAGGUGAGCUCUGAACAUUUGAUCUGGAACAGGAAUUCAAUAACUGCAGCAUGAGCUUCAUUUCAGUCUGUAGCUGCUGAAUUCAUGGAUGAAUCAUCUGGCACUAGAGAGGAAGACCAUCAAACAUCCACGUCAGCUGAUGGAGGUCCAAGAGUCUCACCAAACAAACAACCUACAGAGUGAAGACCUCAAAUCUGAUUGGACGGCCUCCUAUUCAGCCACGUGUGAACAAAUGCCUCUAAGUUGAUUUGUUUUCUAAAAUAAAUCUAGUUUGAGUCCUAA